GGGUCGGUGGUCCCUGGGCAGGGGUCUCCGAUCCCGGACGAGCCCCCAAAUGAAAGACCCUCACUUGGAGUGGCUUCCGCUUGAG
rnacentral:miRNA from 1 species